rnacentral:rRNA from 1 species
AACGCGUGGGAAUUUGCCUUUCGGUACGGGAUAACGUCUGGAAACGGACGCUAAUACCGUAUGAUGUCUACGGACUAAAGAUUUAUCGCCGAAAGAGGAGCCCGCGUAGGAUUAGGUAGUUGGUGGGGUAAUGGCCUACCAAGCCGACGAUCCUUAGCUGUUCUGAGAGGAAGAUCAGCCACACUGGAACUGAGACACGGUCCAGACUCCUACGGGAGGCAGCAGUGGGGAAUAUUGGACAAUGGGGGCAACCCUGAUCCAGCCAUGCCGCGUGAGUGAAGAAGGCCCUAGGGUUGUAAAGCUCUUUCGCCAGGGAAGAUAGUGACGGUACCUGGUAAAGAAGUCCCGGCUAACUCCGUGCCAGCAGCCGCGGUAAUACGGAGGGGACUAGCGUUGUUCGGAAUUACUGGGCGUAAAGAGUACGUAGGCGGUAACGCAAGUUGGGUGUGAAAGCCCGGGGCUCAACCCCGGAACUGCAUUCAAAACUGUGUUGCUAGAGAUCGGAAGAGGUAAGUGGAAUUCCCAGUGUAGAGGUGAAAUUCGUAGAUAUUGGGAAGAACACCGGUG